ACUGGGGGUAUACUCCAUAGUUCGUGCUGACUGGAAUGUUAUGCGAACGAAAGAUCCGUCGCUUCAGGAUGAGUCUGCGGCCGAUUAGGUAGUUGUUGGGGUAACGGCCCAACAAGCCUGUCAUCGGUACGGGUUGUGGGAGCAAGAGCCCGGAGAUGGAUUCUGAGACACGAAUCCAGGCCCUACGGGGCGCAGCAGGCGCGAAAACUUUACCAUGCGGGCAACCGUGAUAAGGAAACCCCGAGUGCCAGCACAGGCUGGCUGUCCAUCAGUGUAAAUAACUGGUGAAGAAAGGGCCGGGCAAGACCGGUGCCAGCCGCCGCGGUAAUACCGGCGGCUCGAGUGGUGGCCGCUAUUACUGGGCUUAAAGGGUCCGUAGCUGGAUGUACAAGUCCCUUGAGAAAUCCGCCGGCUUAACCGGUGGGCGUUCAGGGGAAACUGUAUUUCUAGGGACCGGGAGAGGUGAGAGGUACUGCCGGGGUAGGAGUGAAAUCCUGUAAUCCCGGUGGGACCACCUAUGGCGAAGGCAUCUCACCAGAACGGGUCCGACAGUGAGGGACGAAAGCUGGGGGAGCAAACCGGAUUAGAUACCCGGGUAGUCCCAGCUGUAAACGAUGCGCGUUAGGUGUGUCAGUGACCACGUGUCACUGAGGUGCCGAAGGGAAACCGUGAAACGCGCCGCCUGGGGAGUACGGUCGCAAGGCUGAAACUUAAAGGAAUUGGCGGGGGAGCACCACAACGGGUGGAGCCUGCGGUUUAAUCGGACUCAACGCCGGAAAUCUCACCGGAUAAGACAGCUGAAUGAUAGUCGGGAUGAAGACUCUACUUGACUAGCUGAGAGGAGGUGCAUGGCCGUCGUCAGUUCGUACUGUGAAGCAUCCUGUUUAGUCAGGCAACGAGCGAGACCCACGCGAGCAGUUGCCAGCUUGACCUUCGGGUUGAUGGGGACACUGCUCGGACCGCCUCUGCUAAAGGGGAGGAAGGAAUGGGCAACGGUAGGUCAGCAUGCCCCGAAUUAUCCGGGCUACACGCGGGCUACAAUGGACAGGACAAUGGGUUUCGACACCGAGAGGUGAGGAUAAUCUCCUAAACCUGUCCGAAGUUCGGAUUGCGGGUUGUAACUCACCCGCAUGAAGCUGGAAUCCGUAGUAAUCGCG
rnacentral:rRNA from 1 species